rnacentral:rRNA from 1 species
UACGAAGGGUGCAAGCGUUACUCGGAAUUACUGGGCGUAAAGCGUGCGUAGGCGGUUCGUUAAGUCUGUCGUGAAAGCCCUGGGCUCAACCUGGGAAUUGCGAUGGAUACUGGCGAGCUAGAGUACGGUAGAGGAUGGUGGAAUUCCCGGUGUAGCGGUGAAAUGCGUAGAGAUCGGGAGGAACACCCGUGGCGAAGGCGGCCAUCUGGACCAGUACUGACGCUGAGGAGCGAAAGCGUGGGGAGCGAACAGG